UCUCCGUAGGUGAACCAGCGGAAGGAUCAUUACCGAGGGUGGGUUUCACAGGCCCUACGUCCCAUACUGCUUUCUGCUUACCCUGUUCCUUUGGCGGGUCCGCCCCGACGCCCCUCCGCCGCCAGCUCACCGCCUUCGCCCCGUGCCGCCCCGUACCCCCCUUAUACUCCUAAUAAACCUGUCGUCUGUGCCUAGACAAACAAAAAAAAACUUUCAACAACGGAUCUCUUGGUUCUG
rnacentral:misc_RNA from 1 species